AGUUCGCGAAGAGAGAGAGAACCACUCACGAAGGAGAAGAACGGCGAAGAGUGAAGGAGAAGCAGAAGACGAUGAACGCAGGGGAGAAGGAGGAGGUCCGUUCUCGCACCGUCCUGCUCUGCCGCCACCGCUGCCAUCGAUUGGGGUCAAGCCGUCGCCGUCGCACCCUGUUCCCGUCGCCAUUAGGGUUUGCUGCUGCUGCCAUUGAUAGAUCUGCCGCUGGGAGGAGCCGAAUAGGGAGAGGAGGUCACCGUCGAACAUGCCGCCACCAGUUACAAUCGUCGCCGAAACCGGGACAGAUUCACCGACUUAUUACUUCAGGCAAGGGAUCUUAUUUCGAAGAUCACCGAGGAGAGGAGUUCUAUUAUUGAUCAAAAUAAAAGACCUCUGCAAGAACUGGUUCUUGCAGCCACUUAAGUUCUAGGUCAGGAGGGUCAAAGUUGGUUUCAGGAUACUGCUGAUGCUAUAACUGUAAGGCAGUUUCAAUGGCUAAUUAAGGAUCCAAGAGCAAGGAACAUUGAGGAUGUAUUGAUUCUUUCUGGGGAUCACCUGUAUAGAAUGAACUACAUGGAUUUGAUUCAAGUUCACCGGGAGAACAAAGCUGAAUUAGGAAUUGACUGUAAAAGGAGGUGUGGAUGAAAGGUUGGUUUCUUUGUUAGAGACACUAUUGACAUGUUUAUGUAGUAGUUGAUAAUUUUAUUCUUGAUGAAUGAUGAUCUCUUUGAAGUAUAGAUGAUGUUCUUCUCUAAUCAUGUAGUUUACUUAUUUUGACUCUGACUUAUAGAGAAUUUUGAUUUUUUCAAAGAUGCUGCCACCAAUGUAUCUCUGGCAGUUUCAAGGCGAGACAUGGCAACACAAAUGAUAAAUAUAUUAUUUUAUUUUUCAGUUA